CAGCCAUCCAUUGAUCUCAGUCAGGUGAGGCAAGUGCUUCUUCAUAAGAAGCUGGCUCAUUUAUAUCCGACACAACACAUAUGAAAGCCCUUCCCUCAAUCAUAUCAAAAUGACAUUGAGGGACAUUCCCAUAUUGGCUUCAUUGAACUGGUUAAGCCUCUAAAUCAAUGUCCAGGGAUUCGCUCCCACUAAGCAGUGCGCUCCCACUGAUCUUGGGUUCUUUCUCUUGCAAGUUAUACAAUUGAAAGUCUUUAUCAACC
rnacentral:lncRNA from 1 species